rnacentral:rRNA from 1 species
CCUACGGGAGGCAGCAGUGGGGGAAUCUUGCGCAAUGGGCGAAAGCCUGACGCAGCCAUGCCGCGUGAAUGAUGAAGGUCUUAGGAUUGUAAAAUUCUUUUCACCGGGGACGAUAAUGACGGUACCCGGAGAAGAAGCCCCGGCUAACUUCGUGCCAGCAGCCGCGGUAAUACGAAGGGGGGCUAGCGUUGCUCGGAAUUACUGGGCGUAAAGGGAGCGUAGGCGGAUAGUUUAGUCAGAGGUGAAAGCCCAGGGCUCAACCUUGGAAUUGCCUUUGAUACUGGCUAUCUUGAGUAUGGGAGAGGUUAGCGGAACUCCGAGUGUAGAGGUGAAAUUCGUAGAUAUUCGGAAGAACACCAGUGGCGAAGGCGGCUAACUGGCCCAUUACUGACGCUGAGGCUCGAAAGCGUGGGGAGCAAACAGGAUUAGAUACCCUGGUAGUCCACGCCGUAAACGAUGAGUGCUAGUUGUCGGCGAUGCAUGCAUGUCGGUGGUACGCGAGCUACGACAUUAAGUACACUCCGCCGUCGGGAGGUACGGUCGCGAGAGUUAAACGUAACGUAAAGAAGUUAGACGGUCGUUGAGACGUUGCCGACGGACGACGACGAGGGAGGAGG